rnacentral:rRNA from 1 species
UAGCAAGCUUAACCGUUUAGGGGAGGCGUAGGGAAACCGAGUCUUAAUAGGGCGCUCAGUUGCUGGAAUUAGACCCGAAACCGGGUGAUCUAUCCAUGGCCAGGGUGAAGGUUAGGUAACACUGACUGGAGGCCCGAACCCACUUAUGUUGAAAAAUGAGGGGAUGAGCUGUGGAUAGGAGUGAAAGGCUAAUCAAACCCGGAGAUAGCUGGUUCUCUUCGAAAACUAUUUAGGUAGUGCCUCGUGUAUUACCGUAGGGGGUAGAGCACUGUUUCGGCUAGGGGGUCAUCCCGACUUACCAAACCGAUGCAAACUCCGAAUACCUACAAGUAUGAGCACGGGAGACAGACUGCGGGUGCUAACGUCCGUAGUCGAGAGGGAAACAACCCAGACUGUCAGCUAAGGUCCCAAAUUAUGAUUAAGUGGGAAACAAUGUGGGAAGGCACAAACAGCUAGGAGGUUGGCUUAGAAGCAGCCAUCCUUUAAAGAAAGCGUAAUAGCUCACUAGUCGAGUCGGCCUGCGUGGAAGAUAUAACGGGGCUAAAUCAUAAACCGAAGCUACGGAUCUUAAAUUUAUUUAAGAUGGUAGAAGAGCGUUCUGUAAGCGGUUGAAGGCAUGCUGUAAGGCGUGCUGGACGUAUCAGAAGUGCGAAUGUUGACAUGAGUAACGAUCAAAGAGGUGAAAAACCUCUUCGCCGAAAAACCAAGGGUUCCUGUCCAACGCUAAUCGAGGCAGGGUGAGGCGGCCCCUAAGGCGAGGGCGAAAGCCGUAGUCGAUGGGAAACAGGUUAAUAUUCCUGUACUUUUUAUAACUGCGAUGGGGUGACGGAGAAGGUUAAACUAGCACGGCGACGGUUGUCCGUGUUCAAGGUUGUAGGCUGGUGUUUUAGGUAAAUCCGGAACGCUAAGGCUGAGAACUGAUAACGACCACUCUACGAGUGGGAAGUAGUCGAUACCAUGCUUCCAGGAAAAACCUCUAAGCUUCAGGUUAUAAGAAACCGUACCCUAAACCGACACAGGUGGUUAGGUCGAGUAGACCAAGGUGUUUGAGAGAACUAUGGUGAAGGAACUAGGCAAAAUAGCACCGUAACUUCGGGAGAAGGUGCGCCGCGUUUGGUGAUGAGACUUGCUCUCUAAGCUGAACGUGGUCGAAGAUACCAGGUGGCUGCGACUGUUUACUAAAAACAUAGCACUCUGCAAACUCGUAAGAGGAAGUAUAGGGUGUGACGCCUGCCCGGUGCCGGAAGGUUAAUUGAUGGGGUUAGCUUAUGCGAAGCUCUUGAUCGAAGCCCCGGUAAACGGCGGCCGUAACUAUAACGGUCCUAAGGUAGCGAAAUUCCUUGUCGGGUAAGUUCCGACCUGCACGAAUGGCGUAACGAUGGCCACACUGUCUCCACCAUAGACUCAGUGAAAUUGAAAUCGCUGUUAAGAUGCAGUGUACCCGCAGCUAGACGGAAAGACCCCGUGCACCUUUACUAUAGGUUCGCACUGGACUUUGACCUUACUUGUGUAGGAUAGGUGGGAGACUUUGAAGCAGAGACGCCAGUCUUUGUGGAGUCAUCCUUGAAAUACCACCCUUGUAAGAUUGAAGUUCUAACCUAGGUCCAUUAUCUGGAUCAGGGACAGUGCGUGCUGGGUAGUUUGACUGGGGCGGUCUCCUCCUAAAGAGUAACGGAGGAGUACGAAGGUAUCCUUAUCACGGUCGGACAUCGUGAGGUAAGUAUAAAGGCAGAAGGAUGCUUGACUGCGAGAUCGACGGAUCGAGCAGGUAGGAAACUAGGUCUUAGUGAUCCGGUGGUUCUGAAUGGAAGGGCCAUCGCUCAACGGAUAAAAGGUACGCCGGGGAUAACAGGCUGAUACCGCCCAAGAGUUCAUAUCGACGGCGGUGUUUGGCACCUCGAUGUCGGCUCAUCACAUCCUGGGGCUGGAGCAGGUCCCAAGGGUAUGGCUGUUCGCCAUUUAAAGUGGUACGCGAGCUGGGUUUAGAACGUCGUGAGACAGUUCGGUCCCUAUCUGCCGUGGGCGUUUGAGAUUUGAGAGGAGCUGCUCCUAGUACGAGAGGACCGGAGUGGACGAACCUCUGGUGUUCCGGUUGUCACGCCAGUGGCAUUGCCGGGUAGCUAUGUUCGGAAAGGAUAACCGCUGAAAGCAUAUAAGCGGGAAGCCUCUCCCAAGAUUAAAUCUCCCAGAGACUUUAUGUCUCCUAAAGAGUCGUCAUAGACUAUGACGUUGAUAGGCAAGAUGUGUAAGCGCUGCGAGGCGUUGAGCUAACUUGUACUAAUAACUCGUGAGGCUUGAUCAU